rnacentral:misc_RNA from 1 species
GCAAAACGAAACAUGUCACUAUUGUAUAUCCCACAGCCCUGCUGUUGCGACACUAUAUAUUACAGUACUGUGUCGCCCAGCACAUUCACACAGAACAGUUAAAACGAAACCUGCCACUAUUAUUCGUCCGGAUGUCGAUUAACAUGUCUCAUCCUCAACCCGAUGUCCCCUCCUUGCUCGGGAACUAUCCGUCCAGCAUCUGCUGAAUUCGUAUCAGCAGUUCUCUCCCCGAAAUCAUGCAGCCUCCGCCCGAUCAAGUAUCGGUCGUCCCUUAUCGCAUUGUGGAGUUUGUUGAACCAGACGAGGAAUCGCUUAGCAGCAAAGCAUAUCGCUGCAAUGAGUAGACAGCCCAGCCAGGCAAAUCG